rnacentral:rRNA from 1 species
UACGUAGGGUGCGAGCGUUGUCCGGAAUUACUGGGCGUAAAGAGCUCGUAGGUGGUUUGUCGCGUUGUUCGUGAAAACCUGAGGCUUAACCUUGGGCGUGCGGGCGAUACGGGCAGACUGGAGUACUGCAGGGGAGACUGGAAUUCCUGGUGUAGCGGUGAAAUGCGCAGAUAUCGAGAGGAACACCUGCGGCGAAGGCGGGUUGCUGGGCUGACACUGACGCUGAGGCGCGAAAGCUAGGGGAGCGAACGGG